AUUGAACGCUGGCGGCGUGCCUAACACAUGCAAGUCGAGCGGUAACAGGUGUAGCAAUACAUGCUGACGAGCGGCGAACGGGUGAGUAAUGCUUCGGAAUCUGCCCAAUGGUGGGGAAUAACCAGCCGAAAGGUUGGCUAAUACCGCAUACGUCCUACGGGAGAAAGCAGGGGAUCGUAAGACUCUGCGCCGAUGGAUGAGCCGAAGCCGGAUUAGCUAGUUGGUAGGGUAACGGCCUACCAAGGCGACGAUCCGUAGCUGGUCUGAGAGGACGACCAGCCACACUGGGACUGAGACACGGCCCAGACUCCUACGGGAGGCAGCAGUGGGGAAUAUUGGACAAUGGGGGAAACCCUGAUCCAGCGACGCCGCGUGUGUGAAGAAGGCCUGCGGGUUGUAAAGCACUUUUAGUGGGGAUGAAAAGCUCAGGGCUAAUACCUCUGGGUCUUGACCUAACCCACAGAAAAAGCACCGGCUAACUCUGUGCCAGCCGCCGCGGUAACAC
rnacentral:rRNA from 1 species